CCAGCGGCCUCCAAGAAGAGGUAAAUCUGUCCUGACCUUGUAGAUGAGGUCCUGCCUGGUUAGGGAUUUGCUGUUAGUGCCAAGAUUCAUAUAUUGUUAGUAGAUUGAUGGUACUGGUAGAUGUAAAUUUUCUUGCUAUUGGUUCUCAAUUUUGGUAGAUGGUACUUGUAGAUGUUUUAGUCCAAUUUAGUGAUCUUUUGGUAAAUUUGGACUUUUAUAAGUAUGUACUAACAUUAUUGUAAUAUUUCUACUUAACAAACUCAGAAGAUAUUAUAUGUUCCAAAAAGAAACUCAGAAGAUAUUAUAAUUAUUAACUUACCCUCGUUUUCAGAACAAAAUGGAGCUAUUAUCAGACUCAGGGGCAUUUAGGUCAUUUUAACACUUGAGACAGACAAUCGAAUGAAAAUAAUCAGGAUUGCCAAACACCCAGCUUAUUCAGACAAUGGAUUCUAUAGAUAGCAGCUUAUUCAGACAACAGAUUCUUUAGAUAGCGGCUUAUCAGAAAAGCCUGCUUGCCAGAUAAGCGAGGUCCAGAAAAGCUUAUCCAAACAGGGUCAUUGUUCCGCCGUUGUUGCCGUCAACGGCGGUGUCCCAGGCGCUUCCCCCAAGGCCCCAACUGGAACCGGUCACAGACAUGUGGGUCCGGCCCUUGUACCCUGGGAAUAUUCUUUUCCAUAGUUAAAGUAAAUCCUUCUUUGUCCUAAAAAUCAUUUAGUCUUGCAAAAUUCAUAUGUAGUUAUCUGUAGCUCCCAUUGACCUCAUCCAUCAUCCACUUGCAUUUUUUUCUUCUAAAAACAGUUUAGAUCUACCUAAUGGCAAUAUUAAUUGUUCUAAAUGGAAUCUUUUUCUUGUUUUUUGUGUAGGUUUUUGAUUGUUGUGUGUAGUUUCCGUCAUCGAAAUAUUCUCUGGAAGCAGAUAUCUUGAAUAUUCGUGAAGACCUUGAGCAAGGCAAGUCACCACCUACCAUAUUAUAUUGUUUCUACACUUGUGAGUACAACUAUUUUGUUAUACUGUUAUACACACAUAUAAAUCAAUAAGAAAUCGUAAACAUGAAAAC
rnacentral:lncRNA from 1 species